AAACUACAGAAGGAAAAAACAAUGUUGUUAUUAAUACCAUUCAGUGUUUUAUUAUUCUCAGUCAUUUUCUAGUUCAACACUCUUUUACAUCAAGCAUUUCCAAAGACGCAAACAUGCCUGUACUAAAAGCUGCAGUUCCACUAAUGUCCAGCAGAGGCAGCAGUGAGUCAGUCCCCAUAGACUUCCAUGUUAAAACUUUACAGCAGAAACAAACAUGUUUACAGCCUGGUAGCUGGUCUCUGUACAUGGGAGAAUGUUUCUAUAACUCACCUGUUUAAAUUGUAUUAAGGCUUAAGGUUUGCAUUAUUAGGGGCGUGGCCUCCCUGACUCACUGACUUCUUUGACACAGGUGGCUGUAGCAGCUAGCGGUCUGCUAGCUUCACCUGAACUGGACCUCUGCACCGUGAUUGUGCUGUUGGAGCCUUAUGGAGUAUUUUCAAUGACAUCAUGUGACCAAAAAUAUGGCUGCUGUGAGGUCACUGUACUAACUGUCAUGGUCUGGGUGUGUGGCUGUAAGAUUCAAGCUGAAAGUCUGGACCUCUCUGGUAUCCACCCAUGGGCAGGGCCUACAGCCUCCCUCACCUGAAGCUGAUUGAGGCAAUCAGGUUGAAGAUUUAAGCUGCUUGCUGACACUGCUUCCUCCCCAGUUCGUCAACUACCUUAUGUUGGUAACCAGGCCUCACGCUCCAUGUUUAUGAAUCUCAAGCGCUCUACUAACCUUGUAAUCUCGUGUUCUAGUUACUCCUGGAAACUCCAUCACACUGAACCACUCGUCUUGGAACUCUGGUUAACCUGCCUGCUUUCAGAAUCAUCUCCUUGCCUCACCUGCCUGCCCUCCUGCCCUUACACCACCUCGGGACCUUCACCGCUCAGGACAGCUGCCACACACCACCAAACCCACCUGGACCACGUUACCUCUCCCUCAACGCUUCCAUCUCCCACCUGCACAUACGUACCUAAUCACCAGCCAGCUGCCGUUGCUUUCUUGGACCUGUCCCCUUGCUUAUCCCUCUCCCCUGGCCAAGACCCUCACGCCCCAUGUGUCAAGCCUUAAAUCAAGUACUAUCGUAAACGUCAUUUUUGUGUUAGUCAAUAAACCUUUGUUAAACCCCUUCCUCAGCCUCCGCCUUGGGUUUUUUGCACGUGGGUUUGAUUUUUGGUACUCAGCCUACGGCCGUUUUGUGACACUAACAGACCGUCCGAGAAGGCGGAGCUCCAGGGUUGGAGAAUUUUGAGAAUUUCAUUUGCAAUGGAGAUAUGACAGCUGCUGAGGAAGAUGAAUUUUAUCACCCUGAAAAUCUAAAUCCUAUUUAAAUCUAAAUUUAUUUCUAAAACCACUUUUACUUCAUGUUGCUCAGAUGGUGGUUUUAUUAGUCUGUGUUCUGCUUCACAUUAAAUAUUCUGACCUUUCAUGAAUCUGCCUCAGGAAUAAUCGUUCAGAAGAACAACACCCCCGAUGAGCAGAGCGAUUUAACACAGAAGCUGAACAUUACAAACCAUUAAAAAUGGAACAGAUCUCUGUAUUCUCAGGAAUAUCCAGGAUGUGGGCUCACGUGUUUGUGGACACGAUGGAGUGGUUACUCAUCAUGAAAUGGGAAGUUUUGA